UACAGAGGUCCCGAGCGUUGUUCGGAUUCAUUGGGCGUAAAGGGUGCGUAGGCGGCGGGGUAAGUUUGAUGUGAAAUCCCGGGGCUCAACCCUGGAAUUGCAUUGAAUACCACCUUGCUAGAGUACCGGAGAGGAAACUGGAAUUUACGGUGUAGCAGUGAAAUGCGUAGAGAUCGUAAGGAAGACCAGUGGCGAAGGCGAGUUUCUGGACGGUAACUGACGCUGAGGCACGAAGGCCAGGGGAGCAAACGGG
rnacentral:rRNA from 1 species